UACAGAGGGUGCGAGCGUUGUCCGGAAUCACUGGGCGUAAAGGGCGCGUAGGUGGUGGCUUAAGCGUGCGGUGAAAGCUCGGAGCUCAACUCCGAGUCGGCCGUGCGAACUGGGCUCACUGGAGCAUAGUAGAGGCAGGUGGAAUUCCGGGUGUAGCGGUGGAAUGCGUAGAGAUCGGGAGGAAUACCUGUGGCGAAGGCGGCCUACUGGGCCGGACCUGACGCUGAGACGCGAAGGCGUGGGGAGCGAACGGG
rnacentral:rRNA from 1 species